UACGGAGGGNGCGAGCGUUAAUCGGAAUUACUGGGCGUAAAGCGCACGCAGGCGGUUUGUUAAGCUAGAUGUGAAAGCCCCGGGCUCAACCUGGGAUGGNCAUUUAGAACUGGCAGACUAGAGUCUUGGAGAGGGGAGUGGAAUUCCAGGUGUAGCGGUGAAAUGCGUAGAUAUCUGGAGGAACAUCAGUGGCGAAGGCGCCUCCCUGGCCAAAGACUGACGCUCAUGUGCGAAAGUGUGGGUAGCGAACAGG
rnacentral:rRNA from 1 species